rnacentral:lncRNA from 1 species
GUAACCGGCUCGGAGGAAGGAGUUACCAGCACUCUUUCCCGCGAGGGGGUGGGCACAGCAGCGGAGGGCGGAGGGACGGCGGAGGGCGCCGCCCGCGCCGCUCGCUGGGGGCGGGAGGGGGCCGCGAGGCUCCUGCCGGGGCUCAGGGCCCGCGCCGGGGAGGCAGUGGGGGCGGGAGCGGGGACGGGGGCCCGGGAGGCCAGCUCUGCCCGAGACCCCCCCCCCGGCGGCGGGCUUGGGGGCUCGCUGCGCAGUGGCAAGCAAGUGUGCAAAUUAAAGCCUUCCGGAGAGAGGGGAGGCAGCUGAGCCCCGGCUUGCUCUGAACCUUCCAGCUCCGCAGCUCUCGGCACCAAGUGGGGGGCGAGAAGGAGAGGAGAGGGGAGUUAAAAGAAAAUUUCCGGCUUUCACUGCAACUGGAGUGGGAGAUCUUGCGACUAAAAAAAGAGGCGUGAGCGAGAGAGAGUGGGAUGUGUCGUCGGGAGUCGGUGGAGUUUCCAAACCCAGGGUCGCCCGGAGUUGGGGUUUUGACAGAGUGAGGCGGGGGUAUCAGCAGUGUAUGAUGUGGACGGAUGGGAAAAACACAAAACAACCAACCGUAAUUAUGAGGGGCCGAUGGGGAUGUUUCCAGUUCACAUCACUGCAACACCAAGUCCAAUGGAAGAGGGAAAAUCCACUUCUCCAACAGAGAAAAAGACUAGAAGGAAGCUCCCAAAAUGUUAAAGCCCUGCAAGCUAUUUGGCAUAUGAAGGUCUUGACCUGAGAAAACCAUCUUGGAUAACCGUGGCAAGGAGAAGGAAAAAUGCAACACCUAGGAGAUUUCAGUAAACAGUAGAAUCAUGCCAACCUAAUCUGUGUUAAAAUGCUUGGAAUGUGGGAGCCGCUGAUGAUGCCUGUUGUCUGUGUGUCUGACUGAAUCCUUUCUUUACUCAGAGCAGCAAAGCAAAGCCUGGGAACCAGGCCAAAUGCCUGCCACUUACCUUAAAUUGAUCAGCCACUUUGAGAUUAAAACUCCUGAAAGCUGCCACACCGUGAAAACAAGGCCCCCUUCACAUUAAAGGCAAAUUGCGACUUUGAGUUUGCUGUGAUCUUUUUUCCAUUUUAUCCAGUUUUUCACAGUGCACACUUUUUUUUUCCUUUCCAUUUAUGCUCCAAUGUAGAAGCCAAUAGUUACAGCAUCUUGGCCAAGCAUUCAUUAAGGUUUAUAAGACCAAAAUUUAUGGUUAUUU